rnacentral:rRNA from 1 species
UAAUACGGAGGGUGCAAGCGUUAUCCGGAUUUACUGGGUUUAAAGGGUGCGUAGGUGGGUUGGGAAGUCAGUGGUGAAAUACUCUCGCUUAACGGGAGAACUGCCGUUGAUACUAUCAAUCUUGAAUAUAGUGGAGGUGAGCGGAAUGUGUCAUGUAGUGGUGAAAUACUUAGAUAUGACACAGAACACCAAUUGCGAAGGCAGCUUGCUACACUAUUAUUGACACUGAGGCACGAAAGCGUGGGGAUCAAACAGGAUUAGAUACCCUGGUAGUCCACGCCCUAAACGAUGAUUACUCGAUCUCAGCGAUACACUGUUGGGGUCUAUGUGAAAGCAUUAAGUAAUCCACCUGGGGAGUACGACCGCAAGGUUG